UUAGCUUAGCACCGAUUGCUAGGCUGGUUGGGGAGAAGGGAAGAAGCGAGCGAAGUUGGUUGAAGGAAACUUGAACCAAAAGAGCGAGCGAGAAAAGCCUUUGAAGAUGACCAGAUGGUAAGAAGCUUUCGAAACUCAAAGAGUAGAGAUGGAAACAUCAAAACAAAGAGAGUGAGGAAGUGUAGCAAUGGGUGCUAAGGUAGGUUCUAGCGGCGGACGGGUGAGUAACGCGUGAGCAAUCUGUCUAUCGCAGGGGGAUAACACUUGGAAACAGGUGCUAAUACCGCAUAAGACCACAGCAUCACAUGGUGCAGGGGUCAAAGGAGCAAUCCGGCGAAAGAGGAGCUCGCGUCCCAUUAGCUAGUUGGUGAGGUAACGGCCCACCAAGGCGACGAUGGGUAGCCGACCUGAGAGGGUGAUCGGCCACACUGGGACUGAGACACGGCCCAGACUCCUACGGGAGGCAGCAGUGGGGAAUAUUGGGCAAUGGGGGAAACCCUGACCCAGCAACGCCGCGUGGGGGAAGAAGGUUUUCGGAUUGUAAACCCCUGUCCUCAGGGAAGAAAAAAAUGACGGUACCUGAGGAGGAAGCCCCGGCUAACUACGUGCCAGCAGCCGCGGUAAUACGUAGG
rnacentral:rRNA from 1 species